CUCUCGCUCCCCUCUCUCCCCUACGCACCCACAGCCGCCGCCCUCUCCCUCCCUCAGAUCUCGAUCUCGAUCUCGCUCCCUUCCACGUCUCCAGGGGCGGCGGCGAUGACUUCCCGUCCUCCCCCGACCCCUAUGCCUUCUGCCACGACUCCGCCGCCACCGCUUUCGCUCACUUAGGCUGCCGCCCCUCGUCCCGAUCCCCUUCCUCCAACCCACCCCACGGCCGCCGGCCAACUCCGGCGAUCCCCGACGCCCAGGAAUCCCAUCUCCACCGGGUCCUCGCCGUGUCAUGCGCGACGACCCACUCACCCGCGGCCAUCCAAUCCAACCGUAGCAGCCGGGAGGGCGGCGGCGGCGGCGGCGGUCUGCACUGACGCAGGAGCCUCCUGGCUGUGGCAUUGUGCCGGCCCCAAACCCCAGGGCUCGGCACGGCUGCGGCCGUGGUCGCUUCCUCCUCCUCCGGCCCAUCUCCGGUCCGGUCCAAUCCAAUCCAAUCCAAGGCCAUGGAGCGAGCCAAGGCGCAGCUGCGUCCGUCUGCGUGCUUCUUCUCAUCCUGGUGCGUACCAUGGUGAGAAGACAAGGCAAAGGCAGGUGCUCCCGAUGGAUGGACGCCGGCGAUUGAGGCUGCUCACUUAGGCUGCGUUUGAUUCGAGUCCAGAUAACUAGUGUAUGCGCCUACUUGUGCGGACUGAUGGCGAAUGCAAGUGCGUGCACAAUGAUGAUCCUCUGGUCUGGUCUUCUUGUGAUUUUAUUACUACUGGUUACUGAAUGGAUGAUGUGCAUCUUUCUUCAGUUUGAUUGAAAAUUGUCCCCCUUUUUGUGCAUGCAUACAUCUGCCCACUAAUUAAGCCACCAGAAUCUUUUAGUUAGGGCUUAAUAAUAAUAUAUGUCAAUGGUGUGACUCUGUGUUUACAUUGUCUCCUAUAGUAGAAUUAUUAUGGAUGGUUCUCUAAUCUACUAGUGUUGUAGCCUGUAGAGGCGAGUCUGUAUUUUGUUCUACACAUGAUGAUGCAAUUAUGGACUGCUGUUUGUUUCCUAGCUAUGUACUGCCAUCAUAUAAAUUCCUGCCAUGUUCUAGAUUAGCCAACCAUUGGUGGCUUGUUUCAGUUUAAUUUAAAUGACCAUGGGUGCGUGCAAAGGGUGAACACACAACACACUAGUUAGUAAGUGCACAACUCUGUCUGUAUACUUACCAAUUGAUGUGGUAAAUAUGCACCUACAAGGAUUGCUACUGGUAACUGAAUGAUAUGCAUCUUCGACCAGACCACCUACAAUAAGCUACUCACUGAGGUGUCCAAGUACAAGCAGACCACGCCCUAGGUGAUCUGGUCUUCUUGCUUGCUUUUUACCUGUGAGAAUUGAGAUCUCGGGAUGGUGGGUUAUGUGGAUCGGUGGCCCCUGGUUAAGUCUUUUGCUGUGAUGCUCUGUUUUGGGGUCAGUCAGUAGUACUCUGUGAUGCUCUGGUUCUCCUAGCAUGGAGCAUAUAUGAUUUUGCUAUGAUUUGGAUGCCAGUUUCUGCUGCUGCAUCAGUUUUUAUUACAUCAGUAGCUAGUGGUGAACGGUAACAACUCCACUUGUUAAUGUUUUUAUUACAUCAGUAGCUAGCGGUGAACAAUAAUAACUUAUGGUUUAUGUUGUGGCUUGGUGCAAUGUAAUCUUGUGGUACUUCCAUGAUUCUGCCGGCUGAUUUUAUAUCUUAUUGUAUUCUUUAUAUUAUAGCUGUCUCCCAUGAUUCUGCUCGUAUCCAACCAUUAUGUUUGCUUUGUUUCAGUUUAAUUUUCCGUGACUUUGUUGUUUAAUGUAUCUACCUGCAGAUAGACUGGGAUGAUUCUGCACCAAGUCGGUCUUGUUGGGCACGAUCCUGUUAUGGAGAAGCUUAAGAUUUCUGACACCAUUGCUCCUAUGUUCUCUGGAGAUGUUGGCAUGGCUGACCUGUUGGUGGGACCAGAUUGUAUCUGCUUCUGCCCGUGCAGGAGCUUCUUCCCCUGCGCCUCUGUUGUCCGCAUGUCUAGUUGAUUGAUUCUGCUCACUUCCUGCUGAAUCGUUCAGACUUUGUAGCGCUCAUGAGCCUUUUAUGUUGCGCCUAUGCUUGAUCUAUGAAGUGAUACAUCUGAAAUUUCCUACAUAUCUUAGUUGUUGGGCCUAGUUGUUGCUGGUCCGUUCUUGUGCAUUGGUCCUGCUCUGAGAGUCUAUUUGUUGCUUGCAAUACUACUAUUGAUUUAACUAGAUUUUGUAGCUUGUUGUCAAAACUUCAAACGACCUGAACUUGCGCAACGGUUCUAGUCCGAAAAUCAUCUGUAUUCACAAUGAUAUGUUAGCUUGUAGUCAAACUUGAUCAUGAGUCUGUUAGCAUGUAGUCAAACUUGAAUAUGAAUUUGUAUAGCUCUUUAUUGUUCUGAAUAGACUGUAUAGCUCUUUAUUGUUCUCCACUUAUUUGUACAGCCAAUGAUGCUUACUUAACUGUAUAGCUCUUUAUGUUUCUUUUCCAGGUAUUCUAUUUGUGCUCCACCCGAAAUCUAUUUUGCAUUGCUAAGUUCUUGAAACGAAGCGCUCACUGCUCGACCAUUUAUUUACUGAACUGGGAGCAACAGAGGCAAGAUAUUUGAAACAAGCUAAAGUCCUUUUGAUUCUUGAUUUCUAGCAUACACAUGCAACCUGAUUGGUGUAGAUAUGAUGUAGGUUCAGUGCUUACUAUUUUUUGAUUUGAUGCAUGUUACCUUCGUUUCUGUCUAUGCCUUCUUUAGUGUUUUGCCAGCUAACUAGUCUAUUGGUCGUUUUGAAAUAUGAAGAUGCUGCAUGUAAGCACUAUUGCUGGCAAUUUGGCACAUCAUAUUAGUCUUAUCCCAUGUUUUGUCACUAGCAUACACUACAAUCCCUUGUCCUGUCACUAGCAUACACUACAGUUUUAUUAAAAGGGGGCAUAUCAUUUGCUCUAUAUAACAGUGCUGAUUUUGCGCUGAUAUGAACUUACAACAGUAUUACAUUGUAGUGUUUUCUGCAUGUUGUUGUAUCACUAGUUUCAUGUUGCCUUCUCAUUUGAACAUAUUACUUGUUUUUGUUUUUAUCCUUGAUUAGUAUCAAUUGUUGUAUUGUAGACUUAAAAUUGUGGUGGUUCCUCCUUUACAGAAGCUCAAGUGUGAAGUCGUGAAGUGUGAAGCAAGUGUGAAGCCGUGAACUGUGAAGCCAAGUGUGAAGCCGUGAAGUCCAACUCAUUGUAGCAUAUCUGUGUUGUAAAGAUUGUAAUACAUUUAUUUAGUGGUAUAUUUGAUGAAUUUUAUGCGUUCUUUGUUCUAUUGGAAAUAUUGAUUAUGUAUGUGAUUUGAAAACUUGUGGAAUGGAAACUUGUCCAGUGAGGCCA